UGCAGUUUUGAUGGGAAGGAAGGAAACUUGGAGAUCUGUCAUAAUUCUUUACACCGGGCUCGUAACUUUGGUGUAGCUGAGUGUAUUAGUCUGCCUCGGUUGCCUUGGCAAAAUGCCCCAACUGGGUGGCUUAAGGAACAGACAGUUCUGGGGGUGAGAAUCCCACGACCAGGGUGGCAGCACACUUGGCUCCUGGUGAGGACUCCCUUCCUGGAUGGCAGCUCUGGAGUGGCCUUUCCUUCCUGCUCAGAUUCGGAGAGAUCUUCAGCGCCUCUCCUCUCUUCCCAGCACACUUGUCCUCUUGGUUUGGGUCUCGCCCUCAGGACUUCACGUAACCUUUCAAGCUCUCUGGAGACCUCACUUCCAGUAUUUCCAAAUGCAGCUACACUGGGCUUAGGGCUUCAGCAUAGUGUUUUUGUUUUGUUUUUUGAGGAGGGACACAUCUCGUCCAUAAUACUGAGGAAGGCACAGUGGUAAAUCUGAACUUUUAAGUUUUCUCAAAAGAUAGAAAUGUGAAAAUAGGCUCCAAUUGCAGAAACAAUUUUGGAGCGAUCAACUUCUCUCAAUUCUUUUUCUUCCUGUGGCUACACAGGGGAGGACAUGGAAGACCUAAAAC
rnacentral:lncRNA from 1 species